AUUGAACGCUGGCGGCAUGCUUUACACAUGCAAGUCGAACGGUAACAGGCCGCAAGGUGCUGACGAGUGGCGAACGGGUGCGUAAUGCAUCGGAACGUGCCCAGUCGUGGGGGAUAACUACUCGAAAGAGUAGCUAAUACCGCAUACGCUCUAUGGAUGAAAGCGGGGGACCGUAAGGCCUCGCGCGAUUGGAGCGGCCGAUGUCAGAUUAGGUAGUUGGUGGGGUAAAGGCUCACCAAGCCAACGAUCUGUAGCUGGUCUGAGAGGACGACCAGCCACACUGGGACUGAGACACGGCCCAGACCCCUACGGGAGGCAGCAGUGGGGAAUUUUGGACAAUGGGCGCAAGCCUGAUCCAGCAAUGCCGCGUGCAGGAAGAAGGCCUUCGGGUUGUAAACUGCUUUUGUACGGAACGAAACGGCUCUGGUUAAUACCCGGGGCUAAUGACGGUACCGUAAGAAUAAGCACCGGCUAACUACGUG
rnacentral:rRNA from 1 species